UUUCCGUAGGUGAACCUGCGGAAGGAUCAUUACUGAAAAAAUUGUAAUAUCUCUUAAGGUAUUGGGAAUUGGAGGAGCCACCUGCGGCUUCUCCUACGACCAACCUUCACACCCCUUGUGUAUCCACCACGUUGCUUUGGCGGGCCGACCCGGUUUCGACCCGGGCGGCCGGCGUCCCCGGCCUGUUCUUCCAGGCCAGGAUGCCCGGCCAAGUGCCCGCCAGUAUACAAAACUCCGGCGAUUAUCUCGUGUAGUCCUGAGAAUUUAUUCAAUGAAUUAAAACUUUCAACAACGGAUCUCUUGGUUCUGGCAUCGAUGAAGAACGCAGC
rnacentral:misc_RNA from 1 species